rnacentral:rRNA from 1 species
UGGGGAAUAUUGCACAAUGGGCGCAAGCCUGAUGCAGCCAUGCCGCGUGUGUGAAGAAGGCCUUCGGGUUGUAAAGCACUUUCAGCGAGGAGGAAGGGUAGUGUGUUAAUAGCACAUUGCAUUGACGUUACUCGCAGAAGAAGCACCGGCUAACUCCGUGCCAGCAGCCGCGGUAAUACGGAGGGUGCAAGCGUUAAUCGGAAUUACUGGGCGUAAAGCGCACGCAGGCGGUUUGUUAAGUCAGAUGUGAAAUCCCGCGCUUAACGUGGAACUGCAU